UACCGGAAGGUGCGCUUGGAUAG
rnacentral:rRNA from 1 species